rnacentral:misc_RNA from 1 species
ACACCUCAACUCUCUACGGUUUGCCGUGGAGAGCUUGGACUUUGGAGGUUUGCUGGCCCUCGGUCGGCUCCUCUCAAACGAAUCAGCUUUCCAGUGUUUGGUGGCGUCACGGGUGUGAUAACUAUCUACGCUCGCGAUCCGUCCGCCUCGCAACCUUCAGCGAUGGAGGUUCGCUGGAGCUCAAAAACGUCUCUCCUCGGCGAGGACAACUUUUGAAC